rnacentral:rRNA from 1 species
UACGAAGGGGGCUAGCGUUGCUCGGAAUCACUGGGCGUAAAGGGUGCGUAGGCGGGUCUUUAAGUCAGGGGGGAAAUCCUGGAGCUCAACUCCAGAACUGCCUUUGAUACUGAAGAUCUUGAGUUCGGGAGAGGUGAGUGGAACUGCGAGUGUAGAGGUGAAAUUCGUAGAUAUUCGCAAGAACACCAGUGGCGAAGGCGGCUCACUGGCCCGAUACUGACGCUGAGGCACGAAGGCCAGGGGAGCAAACGGG